rnacentral:misc_RNA from 1 species
AACGAGGCCGACCUGCGGCUGAGUUACCUGCGGAAGGAUCAUUACCGAGUUUACAACUCCCAAACCCCUGUGAACAUACCACUUGUUGCCUCGGCGGAUCAGCCCGCUCCCGGUAAAACGGGACGGCCCGCCAGAGGACCCCUAAACUCUGUUUCUAUAUGUAACUUCUGAGUAAAACCAUAAAUAAAUCAAAACUUUUAGCAACGGAUCU